rfam:Myotis davidii contig52603, whole genome shotgun sequence.
AAAAUAGUCAAUGAGUCUGCUUAUCUGAAUGUAUUUCUGCAAAAAUUUAGAGAAAACGGGCAAUAGUAAAGCCAUAUAAUGAGCCUUAAAGAUAUUGAGGUCACUAAGGUCCCUGAAAAUGGCUAUAAGG